rnacentral:rRNA from 1 species
UACGGAGGGUGCAAGCGUUAUCCGGAUUCACUGGGUUUAAAGGGUGCGUAGGCGGGUUGGUAAGUCCGUGGUGAAAUCUCCAAGCUUAACUUGGAAACUGCCGUGGAUACUAUCAAUCUUGAAUAUCGUGGAGGUAAGCGGAAUAUGUCAUGUAGCGGUGAAAUGCUUAGAUAUGACAUAGAACACCAAUUGCGUAGGCAGCUUACUACACGAUCAUUGACGCUGAGGCACAGAAAGUGCGU